GUUCCCAUAUGAUCUCCAAAAUUAAGCAUCAUCGAGUCUGGUCAGUACCAAGAUGGGUGACUUUCUGGGAAUACCAGGUACUGUAAG